AGAACUAUUAAAAAAAGCUUCUAACUUAAAAAAAAGCAUUAACAUGUUUAUAGUUCUA
rnacentral:tRNA from 1 species